rnacentral:lncRNA from 1 species
GCAUGUAGGAAUGCGAAUUAUUUUUAUUUUGUUGAAAUUCCCAUUUUGUGGGAGUAUUAUGCAUGAGUAUGCUGAUGAUUGAUAUGACUGUGUUUUUUUGAAUUUUCUGUUUGGUAGGAAAACCAUUUAUGAAUGAUUCAUAUGAUGCAUAUGGGAAUGCAAAUGGGUAAUUGGAUAUUUUUUGUAGGAUUUUAUUUUUUUGAUAUUAUUGAGGAAUAUCAUCAUUAAAGAGUUGAUGGAAGGUAGUGAAUGUCGACAUCAAAGGGUUGAUGGAUAGGUAAAUGCCAUCGUCAAAGGGUUGACGGAAAAAUUGUCAUCAUCAGAGGGCUGAUGGAAAAGAAAUUCAUUAUAGAGUGACAUCGUCAAAGGGUUAACGGAAAGGUAAAGGAUGUCGUCACCAAAGGGUUGGUGGAAAAGGAAAUAUAUAUGUAAUGUCAUCGUCAAAGGG